GGCCCCGUAGUUCAAUGGAUAGAAUAGUUGUUUCCUAAACAAUUGAUCCGAGUUCGAUUCUCGGCGGGGCUACCA
rnacentral:tRNA from 1 species